rnacentral:rRNA from 2 species
CAAGUCGAGCGGACCGACGGGAGCUUGCUCCCUUAGGUCAGCGGCGGACGGGUGAGUAACACGUGGGUAACCUGCCUGUAAGACUGGGAUAACUCCGGGAAACCGGGGCUAAUACCGGAUGCUUGAUUGAACCGCAUGGUUCAAUCAUAAAAGGUGGCUUUUAGCUACCACUUACAGAUGGACCCGCGGCGCAUUAGCUAGUUGGUGAGGUAACGGCUCACCAAGGCGACGAUGCGUAGCCGACCUGAGAGGGUGAUCGGCCACACUGGGACUGAGACACGGCCCAGACUCCUACGGGAGGCAGCAGUAGGGAAUCUUCCGCAAUGGACGAAAGUCUGACGGAGCAACGCCGCGUGAGUGAUGAAGGUUUUCGGAUCGUAAAACUCUGUUGUUAGGGAAGAACAAGUACCGUUCGAAUAGGGCGGUACCUUGACGGUACCUAACCAGAAAGCCACGGCUAACUACGUGCCAGCAGCCGCGGUAAUACGUAGGUGGCAAGCGUUGUCCGGAAUUAUUGGGCGUAAAGCGCGCGCAGGCGGUUUCUUAAGUCUGAUGUGAAAGCCCCCGGCUCAACCGGGGAGGGUCAUUGGAAACUGGGGAACUUGAGUGCAGAAGAAGAGAGUGGAAUUCCACGUGUAGCGGUGAAAUGC